rnacentral:sRNA from 1 species
GGACAUGCCACCCCCGUUUUAGGAGAACUUGUAUUUGGUUUGUAAAGGAAUUGGAAUCACGGCGUUAUCCUACCUUCACCAUUUACCCCUGAUAAAUUGUCCACGUUUGUAUUCGGGAAUCAUAUCGACAGGUCAUGAAAAUGAGACCAAAAGAUCUCUGGAAGCGAUUAAUGAUAAAAUUUCGUGGAGAAGAAGGCCUUGACUAUGGAGGCGUUGCCAGGGUCUCCCUCUGUCACCCAGGCUGGAGUGUAGUGGCGUGAUCUCAGCUCACUGCAACCUCCCCAUCCUGGGCUCAAGAGAGCCUCCCACCUCAGCCUCCUGAGUAGCUGGGACUACAGG